rnacentral:rRNA from 1 species
UACAGAGGUCCCAAGCGUUGUUCGGAUUCACUGGGCGUAAAGGGUGCGCAGGUGGCUUGGUAAGUUAGAGGUGAAAGCCUGGAGCUCAACUCCAGAAUUGCCUUUAAGACUGCAUCGCUUGAAUCGCGGAGAGGUGAGUGGAAUUCCGAGUGUAGAGGUGAAAUUCGUAGAUAUUCGCAAGAACACCAGUGGCGAAGGCGGCUCACUGGCCCGAUACUGACGCUGAGGCACGAAAGCGUGGGGAGCAAACAGG